UACAGAGGGUGCGAGCGUUGUUCGGAAUUACUGGGCGUAAAGCGUGCGCAGGCGGUUGGUUAAGUCUGAUGUGAAAGCCCCGGGCUCAACCUGGGAAUGGCAUUGGAAACUGGCUGGCUAGAGUGUGGCAGAGGGGGGUGGAAUUCCGCGUGUAGCAGUGAAAUGCGUAGAGAUGCGGAGGAACACCGAUGGCGAAGGCAGCCCCCUGGGCUAGCACUGACGCUCAGGCACGAAAGCGUGGGGAGCAAACAGG
rnacentral:rRNA from 1 species